CAGAGUGUAGCUAAAAUAGUAAAGCAUUUCCCUUACACCGAAAAGCCGCCCGUGCAAAUCGAGCCACCCUGA
rnacentral:tRNA from 1 species